rnacentral:rRNA from 1 species
GAUGAACGCUGGCUGCGUGCCUAAUACAUGCAAGUCGAGCGAACGGACGAGAAGCUUGCUUCUCUGAUGUUAGCGGCGGACGGGUGGGUAACACGUGGAUAACCUACCUAUAAGACUGGGAUAACUUCGGGAAACCGGAGCUAAUACCGGAUAAUAUUUUGAACCGCAUGGUUCAAAAGUGAAAGACGGUCUUGCUGUCACUUAUAGAUGGAUCCGCGCUGCAUUAGCUAGUUGGUAAGGUAACGGCUUACCAAGGCAACGAUGCAUAGCCGACCUGAGAGGGUGAUCGGCCACACUGGAACUGAGACACGGUCCAGACCCCUACGGGAGGCAGCAGUAGGGAAUCUUCCGCAAUGGGCGAAAGCCUGACGGAGCAACGCCGCGUGAGUGAUGAAGGUCUUCGGAUCGUAAAACUCUGUUAUUAGGGAAGAACAUAUGUGUAAGUAACUGUGCACAUCUUGACGGUACCUAAUCAGAAAGCCACGGCUAACUACGUGCCAGCAGCCGCGGUAAUACGUAGGUGGCAAGCGUUAUCCGGAAUUAUUGGGCGUAAAGCGCGCGUAGGCGGUUUUUUAAGUCUGAUGUGAAAGCCCACGGCUCAACCGUGGAGGGUCAUUGGAAACUGGAAAACUUGAGUGCAGAAGAGGAAAGUGGAAUUCCAUGUGUAGCGGUGAAAUGCGCAGAGAUAUGGAGGAACACCAGUGGCGAAGGCGACUUUCUGGUCUGUAACUGACGCUGAUGUGCGAAAGCGUGGGGAUCAAACAGGAUUAGAUACCCUGGUAGUCCACGCCGUAAACGAUGAGUGCUAAGUGUUAGGGGGUUUCCGCCCCUUAGUGCUGCAGCUAACGCAUUAAGCACUCCGCCUGGGGAGUACGACCGCAAGGUUGAAACUCAAAGGAAUUGACGGGGACCCGCACAAGCGGUGGAGCAUGUGGUUUAAUUCGAAGCAACGCGAAGAACCUUACCAAAUCUUGACAUCCUUUGACAACUCUAGAGAUAGAGCUUUCCCCUUCGGGGGACAAAGUGACAGGUGGUGCAUGGUUGUCGUCAGCUCGUGUCGUGAGAUGUUGGGUUAAGUCCCGCAACGAGCGCAACCCUUAAGCUUAGUUGCCAUCAUUAAGUUGGGCACUCUAAGUUGACUGCCGGUGACAAACCGGAGGAAGGUGGGGAUGACGUCAAAUCAUCGUGCCCCUUAUGAUUUGGGCUACACACGUGCUACAAUGGACAAUACAAAGGGCAGCGAAACCGCGAGGUCAAGCAAAUCCCAUAAAGUUGUUCUCAGUUCGGAUUGUAGUCUGCAACUCGACUACAUGAAGCUGGAAUCGCUAGUAAUCGUAGAUCAGCAUGCUACGGUGAAUACGUUCCCGGGUCU